rnacentral:rRNA from 1 species
GGGAACUGUGAGACAGGUGCUGCAUGGCUGUCGUCAGCUCGUGUUGUGAAAUGUUGGGUUAAGUCCCGCAACGAGCGCAACCCUUAUCCUUUGUUGCCAGCGGUUCGGCCGGGAACUCAAAGGAGACUGCCAGUGAUAAACUGGAGGAAGGUGGGGAUGACGUCAAGUCAUCAUGGCCCUUACGACCAGGGCUACACACGUGCUACAAUG